ACCUCCAUAAUGUUCUCCAGAGUGGUUAUACCAGCUUACAUUCCCACCAACAGUGUAAGAGUAUGCCCUUUUCUCUGCACCCUCUCCAGCACUUAUUGUUUGUAGACUUUUUGAUGAUGGUCAUUCUGACUGGUGUGAGGUGAUACCUUAUUAUAGAUUUGAUUUGCAUUUCUCUAAUGAUUAGUGAUGUUCAUCAUCUUUUGAUGUGCUUUUUGGCUACUCUGUCUUCUGUGGAGAAAUGAUAUCAAAACUAGCUAUUGUGAGAAAGGAAAAGUAGGAUAUUGAAAAUGUAUUUGAAAUUAAGGAAACAGCAACUUGAAAGCAUCUUGCAUAUAUACAGAAUGCUAUAUCGAAACCUCAUGGGAAUGACUAACUAAAAGAGAACAACAGACACACACAUUUAAAAAAGAAAAAGAAAUCCAACCACAACACUAAAGAUAGUCAUCAAAUCACAGGAGAAGAGAACAAAAGAGGAGGGGAAGAAAGAAGUCUAACAUCAACAAAUCCAAAACAAUUCAAAAAUGGCAAUAUGAACAUAUAUAUCAGUAAUUACCUUGAGUGUAAAUGGAUUAAAUGCUCCAACCAACUGAAAAACACAGGCUGGCUGAAUGGAUACAAAAACAAGGCCCAUAUAUAUACUGUCAACAAGAGACCUACUUCAGAUCUAUGGACACUCAAGAAUGAAGGUGAGAGGAUAGAAGAAGACAUUACAUGCAAAUGGAAAUCAAAAGAAAGCUGGAGUAGCACUCCUCACAUUAGCUACAUUUUAAUUUAAUCACCUCUUUAAAGACCUUCUCUUUUCUUUAACAGCUCAAUUUUAUUUUUAAAAAUUUUUAUUAUAGUUGAUUUACAAUGUUCUGUCAAUUUCUGCUCUACACGAAAGUGACCCAGUUUUAUAGAUAGAUAGAUAGAUAGAUAGAUAGAUAGAUAAUGCAUCUCAUAAUAGGAAGAGUGACUCAAAACCAAGCUUUGACUCCAAAGCCAAAAAUCUUAACUAUUUAGCUAUCCUCAGAGGUGACUCUUACACUAUUCAGGGUGAUAAAACCACCAACAUUUUUAGACUUAUCAUCACAGCCAAUCAUACAGUGUUCCCACUGAUCUAUGAAAUUCUUUCACAUGAUAUGAUGAAGCACUGAGCUCAUACCAAUAACAUUUUUUACUGCUUUAUUAUUUACCCCACCAUUUACAAGCAGCUGGCUUUAGAAGAAGACUCAGCUGUGAUACCAGCUAGGGAAUAACUUAUUUCUGUUUUGGGGUGUUUUUUAUUCAGCCUUCACUCCUAUCUUCAUUUGCUUACUCAACAAAUAUUUACUGCGUGUCUGCUACAUUAUGGGCAUUUUUCUAAGCACUUUAGAAACAUCAAUCAAUUUAAUUUUCAUAACACAUGAAGGACCUCAUGAUUCUUCCUUUAUAGGUGAGAAGCCAAGGCUUAAAAAGAGAUUAAGUAACUUGCCAACAAUCACUUAAGAGGUGGUGCCAAGGUUUGAAGAGGGCAUCUUGAAGGCAGCCUCACUCCAGACCUUCACCCAUACUUUAGAUUUUUCUUCCUUGCUAGCUGUUAAAGUGUCUUAAGAUUGAUAAUUACCAACUACUUUUUUUUUAAAGAAGAGUAAAUAUGGUUAUUACUAACUUAGAGCUCUAUUUUUCCUCUCCUAUUACAUAUAAUGUGAAACAGUUGCAGUUACAGUUCCUAUUUAAUCCACACAUUUUGGAACAGUAAAUACACCUGUGAGUUUUCUGGUUCACAUUUGGGAACUAGGAGCUAAGACUUCACCUUAGAAAUAAUGGAGAAGAUCUUUGAGCCAAAAAGGAUACAAUUAAAACAGCGCUAUAAAGCAUGAGGGGAUGGAUCAGGAAUUUUGAGAAAUCUCAGGAAAAUCAAACACAGAUAGGAUUGAGUCAAUGGAGAAACUAUAGCAGAAGAAAACAACCUCAGAUAACAAAGGCGAGCAUGGUUCUUUCUAUGAGAGACUUUAAGAAGGUGAAGUCAUACCAGCAAGUGCAAAGAGCAACUGCACUCAAAAUAUUAUUCAAUAACUAUAUUCAGACUGUCUACAUUGGGGACCAUCUCUACUCCUUACCUAGAGUUACCAAUGAUCUCAAGCUAAAAUCUAAGUAAUGUUCAUUAAAGGAAGAUGGGGAUGAGACUGCUAGUAAGGGUGUAAAGAGAAUCAGUGCAUCCUUGGGGCUGGAUGUGGAUGUUUGCAGCAGCGAGGUCUUUGAGGAACACUCCUUACUUACACCACCUUACACCACUGCCUGCUUGUGUGUGUGUGUGUGUGUGUGUGUGUGUGUGUUAGAGUGAUGUCUGAAUAGGACCAAAAUGGGGCUAAGGGAGAUAUGAACAUUAUUAGGAGGUUGUGGCUUUUGAGACCAGCCUGUAACUUUGGUAGCUCUGGAAGCAGAUGGGACUUUGGAUUGCAAUGCUAUUGGGAGGCCAUAGGUAGGUCCAUAAUUGACGCACAAUAUUUAGAUAGUAUCAGGCAGGGACAUGCUUGGCAUCAUAAAUGUAGGACAUGUGCAUGUCACUCCAGGGCUGAAUGGCACUAGAUGUAUCAGUCAAAGUGCCUGCCAUGCCUCCUUCCUCUCUGCUAAAACUGCCAUACCCAGAAGUAAGCAUAAAGGCUGCUUUCUUGACGGAUGAAGAAAGUAGCUCUAAAUUGGUCUUUGUACAGGCACUAUCAAUGAUUGGUCUACAGUCAAUCAAUAGCCUUCUCAGUGGUCCAUGGUGUGACCCAGUACUAAGAAUCAAAGGAACUCAAUCAAAUUAUUUUUCUCAGGAAUUUGAACUCAGAAUAUGGAGAGAUUUGGCUGGAAGCCAACAAUGUCAGAAUUGCUGUGAAAGAUCCACAGACUGUGACCAUCAGAUCCCUGGAGCCUGUAGAGUCCACAGCUGUCCUCCAGCUCCAGUUUCCCAAGGCCUGGCCCAUUAGACAUCCUGUGCUUGAUUUCCAAAGGAUUCUAUCUCCAUUGUUGGAAUAGGGGUACCUUUCCAACAAAUUCUUUCUUUACUGGAGCUAGCCUGAGACUCUUUUGUGCAACCCAAACCACUCUAAUUGAGAGAGAAGCCUGCCAACUGUGUUCAUUUUGCAUUAAGGAGGGAAGAGAGACCUAGCGACUGCUGUUCCCUGGGUCAGUGGAAUGAGCUGGUUCUGAUCUAGGUGCACCACCUCAGCUCACACCACAAGAACUGGCAGCUUGAGACAGUUUUUUCAAGAAAAGAAGAUUUUUUCUUAAAUUUCUUAUUUUUUUUCCUCUUUGAAAGAUUAUUGGACUACUGGGUUGAAGGUCUCAAGAUAUAUUUCAAUACCUCCAGUUUUCUAAAACAAGUUUAGGAGCAAAUUAAAAAGAAAUAACUUUUAAGUUCUCAUUAAUGAUAGCCUUAUUUUUCAGAUCCAGAAACAAUAGAAUCUAUACUAAAUGUAAACCUUCAAAACUGAGAAAAACAAAGAUCUGUGGAGGUCAGAUUGACCUCCCUCCUUUUUCUGUUAACUCUUGCUCCUGGAGAGCCCUUCCUAGGAAGCCUGGGAAAGAGAAAAGCAACCUCCUAAGGUAGGAAAGUGGACUGAAAUCACCUUCAGGCAAGCCUUGGUCUCCUCUUGUUGAACUUAAAAAUUUCAUAAAACAUUGACAUCAAGUAAGGCCACUCUGUGAAUGUGAUGGAUCAAGUUAAAAAUAGGACCAUUCUGCAAUCAUGCCUGAAUACAGACAAAACAUAAACAUUGUCCAAACCACAAAAAUGAUCAAAUGUUUCCCACCUACCUAAAUUAGCUUUAAGAUACUGAAUCAUAGAAUUAUUAACCUCACUUUCUGAUAACCUCCAAUUUAAAGACCACUCUCUUAAGCUCUUUUCAAAAUCACCUAACACAAGGCCAAUAUUUUCUAGUCUUUUCUAAUCUUUCUAACAACUUCUUAGUGCGAUGCCCCACACUUGUCCAUGGAGUGUGUUCUCCUGCCCUAAAGAAGUAAUAAACCCAACGUGUUCAACAACAGAUGUGUUCCUGAUGGUGUUGGGCUGGAGGAUUUUGAAAAGACUUUGGAAUGUCAUGUUUCUCUCUCCACUCCUAUCAUUACAUGUCAAGAUGGUCAAAAAGCAGCUCCUGGGACUAACUUUCCUGGUCCCAGCAAUAAAUUCCAAGGCUUAACAGGCUCUUACUACCUGCCAGGUGCUUUACAUGAAUGAUGCACUUUAUUUAUUUAUUUAUUUAUUUAUUUGCCAAACCAUUGGCAUUUGGAAUUUCUCCAGCCAGAGAUCAAACCCACACAAGAGCACACACCUGAGCUGCUGUGGUGACAAUGCCAGAUCUUUAACCUGCUGUACCACAAAGGACCUCCUACAGUAACUCAACAAAGGUCACAACACAACUAAGGGGCUGAGCCAGGAGUCCAAGAUGGCCAGCUGAGCCAGUGUGAGGGUUCCAAUGUCCACAGCGUGCUGCCUCCCAUGGCACUGGUCUACAUGCUUUCAGGCAUCACUGGUAUACAGUCACUGGUCACUAUGCCAUUAGGCUAUGUUGAAGGGCACUCUAAUAAACGGCCCCAGGAUAUCACUGCUGGGUUUCCUGUAAGCCAUCAGAGAAUGCACACCCACAGGAAAAAAAAAUCUCUCUAAUCACAGUACCAGAAAUAACUGAGCUUCUGUGAAGCAGUUGGAUUUUUUUUUCACCCUAGUGAAGGCAGCAAUCAUAUAAUUCAGAGAUUUCUACCUCAUUUUAAGAAAAGUACAGGAUGAUUUUAAGUCAAACCUAACCAAGAAACAUAUUCUCUUUGAGUUUUAGUUUCAAUUUUACCAAUGUGGCCAAAAGAGCAUUCCCACUUGGUAGUAAUAGGACUACUGCUUAUUUUUUCGGAAAGCUGGAGGCUGAGGCACAGAGGCUUAGAAGGUAAUAAUAAUAUCAAGCAAGAGCUCAAUGACUUAGCCUCAUUUUAUUUAUUUUUGUAAUUACCUUCCAUUUAUAGCUGACUAUACUGAUUUUCCAUUUAUAAAUGAUAUAAAGUUUCCUUUAAAAAUUAUUUCAGUAAAAAGUUGAGUCCCUUUAAGAGAAAAUGUUAAAUAAAUAGUGGUACAGGUGGUAGGAUACCAAACAAGGAAACAAAAAUCAUGAAGGUGUUCUGGGAAACCGUGACUUCAGUUUCCUCUUUGCCUUGGAUGCUGGAAAGACAGCGCUCAGUUCUUCAGUCAUUGCUCUCAAGGGUGCAGUUCUCCCCUCCAUGAAUUUCUCCUUCUAAUCUAACGCCUGGCUGUAUCUUCCAUAUCCUCCGCACUGCCCCCUCUGCCUUUUUGACUUGCCACCCUAUUUCCUUU
rnacentral:lncRNA from 1 species